UACAGAGGUCUCAAGCGUUGUUCGGAUUCAUUGGGCGUAAAGGGUGCGCAGGUGGCGAGGCAAGUCGGAUGUGAAAUCCCGGGGCUCAACCCCGGAACUGCAUUCGAUACUGCCUUGCUAGAGUGUGGUAGGGGAGAUCGGAAUUCCUGGUGUAGCGGUGAAAUGCGUAGAUAUGCGGAGGAACACCGAUGGCGAAGGCAAUCCCCUGGGCCUGCACUGACGCUCAUGCACGAAAG
rnacentral:rRNA from 1 species